GUGGAUUAGAUACCCGGGUAGUCCACGCCCUAAACGAUGUCAACUAGGUGUUGGGUGGGUAAAACCAUUUAGUACCGGAGCUAACGCGUGAAGUUGACCGCCUGGGGAGUACGGCCGCAAGGUUAAAACUCAAAGGAAUUGACGGGGACCCGCACAAGCGGUGGAUGAUGUGGAUUAAUUCGAUGCAACGCGAAAAACCUUACCUACCCUUGACAUGUCAGGAACUUUCCAGAGAUGGAUUGGUGCUCGAAAGAGAACCUGAACACAGGUGCUGCACGGCCGUCGACAACU
rnacentral:rRNA from 1 species